GUUGCCAAAGAUCCGAACCACAGCGAUGGCCUCAUAAGCUAGCUUUGCAUGUACUUUUCCAGUUAUAUCCUGCUCGAUUCCGUUCCAGCUCUGGGUACGCUCAGUUGCACAUGCAAAAACUUUUCCAAACAGGGGGACAAUUUUCCCACAAGCCAAUGAUUCAUGUAAGACAAGCUUGCAGCCUCUUCCAGACCACUUGUUCAGGCCAUCCUCAAAUUUAGGAUUUGCCAUGAUGUUCCCUUCUCCAUAUCCAGUGUCCACAAAUUGAUAAUGACUUGUUUCCUUUUGAUAACUUGUUUUCUCUUGAUAGCUUGUUUCCUUUUGAUAGCUUGUUUCCUUUCCAUAUCAAAAUGAAGAGAAUUUCACAAAUUAAUCAUCACAAAAAGUAUAAAUAAAAUUAAUAAAUAGAUUUAAGAAGAAAAAUUACGUAGAAUUCACUUGGUGGGGAGCUGGAAAUAACUACUGAUUGUAUAAGCAAGUCCACUGCAGCAGAAGGGCCUUCCAAGUAAAAAACGGCACGAUCAGGCUUCUUUGGCAGGGAGAAUUUUCCUUCCAACUUUUCCCACCUUUCCUUUGACAGAGAAAUUCUGCAGGGAUAUAUAACUUACAUUAAGACUAUCUGUAUGUUUCAUUUAAGGAAGAAACGCAAUAAAGUGAAGCAGCAAAUCUAUUACCUUCCAAUGAACAAAUAGUCUGUUGGGGAAUUUCGAUAUUCCACUCUCAAAGUAGCUUGUACAUCAGUGGUUCCCUGAAUAUGUCCUGAUACACCAACAUAUGCAGUAACAUAAUAAGUGGAACCUGGAGAAACAAUGCUUGUGAUAUCUUGCUCCAAGCCCUGCCAACUUUCUGUUCGAUUUGAGACAACUGCAUAAUAACCACCUCGCUUUGUUAAGAAUGCUGGGUGACCUGACUCUGCUGAAACCACAGAGAAACUGCAGCCAUUUGCGUGCCAAGAAUGCUGUCCUUGAGAGAAGUCAUGGUUCGUUAUGACAUUGAUGGUGGUGUUGCCACUUGAACCAGAUAUGCCUUGGUCCAUUAUGGUCUUGAUAGCAGUGUCACCAUAUGAACCAACAGUGCUCUGGUCCAUUGUGAUAUUGAUGGCACCGCUGCUACUUCUACAAGACAUGCCAUGGUCCCUUCUGAUAUUGGCGAUAUCGCUGCUACUUGAACUAACUUUGCCCUGAUCCAUUAUAUUAAAGUUUGAGCAACUUUGAAAUAUCUAUGUAAAAACAUGUAAAGAUUAUUCAAUAGAACAUUCAUAAUAAUAAUAUAACAACAGCAACAUUACAACAAUUGAGGUUUUCGCACUAAAUUUUAAUGGAGAAAAAAUUGCCGCUGCAUUAAAAUUUAGGCUAAUUUAUUUAAAAAGACCCAAUAUUUAUAUGUAUUUACAUUUUAAUUUAAUUCUUUCAAUUUUAGUUUAAUUAACUCAACCUUUAUAUUUUAGUAUAAUUUUAGCCUAUUUACAAAAUUUUAAAUUUAAUAGUCUAACUGGUAUCAAGUAUGUGUAUAUUAUUAUUAUUUAAUUGGUUAAUUAAUUAAAAAAGGCCAAAUAUUUAUUAUUUUAUAUUUUAAUUCAAACGUUUAAAUUUUAAAUAAAUGGAUUUAAUAUUUAUGUUUGAUUAUAAUUUUGAUUAAUUUUUAAAAUUAAAAUUAAAAAUAAAUAAUUUAAUUAUUAAAUAUGUAGUUCACAAUUUUAACUGAUAAAUUUUAUUUUACCGUAAUAAUUAUAAAUAUUUUAUAAUAAAUAUAUUAUUUAAUUCAAAAUUGUAGUAUAUAUAAAAUAAUUAAAAAUAAUAUAUUUAUUAUAAAAUUUUUAUAAUUAUUAAUACAAAAUAAAAUUUAUCUACUGUUAAAUGUUGAUAGCAUAUUAAAUAGUUAGAUUAUUAUUAUUUUUAAAAUUAAAUAUAUCAUUUAAAAUUACACUCUAGCAUUGCUCAAUUCAUCCAAAAUUUAAAUAUUUGAAUUAAAACGUAAAAUGAUGUAAACAAUAAAUUUUUAUAGUAAUUUGAUUAUUAGUUUAUAAUUAAAUAGUAAUAAUACACAUAACAUACUAAUUAAACUAUCAAAUUUAAAAAUUUACAUAUUAAUUAAAAUUGCAUCAAAACAUAAAGGUUAGAUUAAUUAAAUUAAAAUUAAAAAAAUUAAAUUAAAAUGUAAAUAUAUAUAAACUUUGAGUCUUUUUAAGUCAAUUGAUCUAAAAUUUAUUGUAAAAUACUAAAAUUUUACCACUAAGACUCCAUUUGUUUGGAGAAAAUAACUUGUAAUUGGAAAAUAUUUUUAAUUUAUAAAAAAAAUAAAAUAUAUUAACAAUUUAUAUAUAAGAUCUUAAUAAGAUUCUUAAAAUAGGAAAAAUGACUUACUUUUUUAAAAAAUCAAAAUUUAUUUUUAAAAUAAUUUAUUUUUUUUGGUAAAAAAAUAUUUUUUAUUGACUAAAUUUUUUAAAUACCUUAUCUAUUAAAAAAAUAUUUUUCUAAAACAUAUUUUUCAGUGAAAUAAAAGAAGAGUAAUUAUAAAAAAUCAUUAUUAAAACUUUUAACGUUAUAUUUUUUGUAGUGAUUUAAUGACUGAACUUGAAUUUUAUCUCUCAAUACUCUAGGGGUGAAUUUUACACAUUUAAUAAUAAUUUUUAUUUUUAUAAAAAGUUAAUUUCUUGUAAUCUAACAAUAAAAAAAUAUAAACAAAAAGUUUAACAUUAAAAUUGGAGGAAAAAUUUUUCUAUAUAAAGUUUAUAUAGACCAAUUCAUAUGAAACUAUAUAAAUUUAACACUAUAAAUCUAUAAGAUCUGAUCUAGAGAUAAGAAUUAUCGGUAAAUUUAGUUUAACUAACCUCAAUUGUUGGACGAGAGGAGGGAGGUACUUUCUCAGCAUGCUUUAGAAAAAAGCCGUUCACAAGAAUAUCAGUGCCUGCAGGUGGACCUUCUAUGAAAAUCACUACCUUUGUAGGGUAAUCAUUUAGAUGGAAUUUUCCCUUUAACUGUAUCCACUCUUUAUCUGUUGUCUGCAUACUACAGUUUCAAAAAGAUAAUCAUGAAAAUAAAUCAAGAAAAUGGUAAAAAAAAUCUAAAUAAUUUGAUUUGGUUAAUGAAAAUGAUGGAGAUAAUAUAACUAAAUAAAUCUUAAAACCUGGCGUUAUAAUCUAUAUCGAUAUUAAAUAUAAUAAAGUUUAACUCUAAAAUUAAGUUUUUCUAAAAGUAAAUGGGAAAGUAUAAUUUAAAAUCUCUCAAAUUUAUUCAGAUGCAUUUAUAAUCAGGCUAAAUCUGUGAGUGUAUAAGUCUUUUUAUUAUAUUUUUUAUAUUAGUUAAUUUUUCUCUUAUUUUAUUAUUACUUCCUCUCUACUAAAAGAAGAAAUGCCUUUAAAUUUUUAAAAAAUAUGAUAAAAAUAACUUUAAGUAUUCUAUUUGAGUUACUCAAGUAAAUAAUGGCUAAAGUAAGUGUCUAGAUGAUAAAUAAAGCCAUCUGACUCAGAGGGUUGAAUUAAGAAAAUGAUGUUUGCAGAAAUUGAAGGUGAUAAAAGAAUAUUAUAUAUGGAGAUAAUUAGAGGGAAAAAGAGCUAACUUGGCAAUGCCUAUGUAUUCUUCUUGGAGAUCUGUUGUUUGGACGCAUAAAGUAACUCGCACAUCAGCACUGCUAACAUUGUUGCCAAAGAUACGAACCACAGCAAUGGCCUCAUAAGCUUGCUUUGCCUGUACUUUUCCAGUUAUCUCCUGCUCGAUUCCGUUCCAGCUCUGGGUACGCUCAGUUGCACAUGCAAAAACUUUUCCAAACAGGGGGACAAUUUUCCCACAAGCCAAUGAUUCAUGUAAGACAAGCUUGCAGCCUCUUCCAGACCACUUGUUCAGGCCAUCCUCAAAUUUAGGAUUUGCCAUGAUGUUCCCUUUUCCAUAUCCAGUGUCCACAAAUUGAUAAUUACUUGUUUCCUUUUGAUAACUUGUUUUCUCUUGAUAGCUUGUUUCCUUUUGAUAGCUUGUUUCCUUUCCAUAUCAAAAUGAAGAAAAUUUUACAAAUUUAUCAUCACAAAAAUGUAUAAAUAAAAUUAAUAAAUAGGUUUAAGAAGAAAAAUUACAUGGAAUUCACUUGGAGGGGAACUGGUAAUAACGACUGAUUGUACAAGCAAGUCCACUGCAGGAGAAGGGCCUUCCAAGUAAAAAAGGACACGAUCAGGCUUCUUUGGCAGGGAGAAUUUUCCUUCCAACUUUUCCCACCUUUCCUUUGACAGAGAAAUUCUGCAGGGAUAUAUAACUUACAUUAAGACAAUCUGUAUGUUUCAUUUAAGGAAGAAAUGCAAUAAAAUGAAGCAACAAAUCUAUUACCUUCCAAUGAACAAAUAGUCUGUUGGGGAAUUUCGAUAUUCCACUCUCAAAGUAGCUUGCACAUCAGUGGUUCCUUGAAUAUUUCCUGAUACACCAACAUAUGCAGUAACAUAAUAAGUGGAACCUGGAGAAACAAUGCUUGUGAUAUCUUGCUCCAAGCCCUGCCAACUUUCUGUUCGAUUCGAGACAACUGCAUAAUAACCACCUCGCUUUGUUAAGAAUGCUUUGUGACCUGACUCUGCUGAAACCACAGAGAAACUGCAGCCAUUUGCGUGCCAAGAAUGCUGUCCUUGAGAGAAGUCAUGGUUCGUUAUGACAUUGAUGGUAGUGUUGCCACUUGAACCAGAUAUGCCCUGGUCCAUUAUGGUCUUGAUGACAGUGUCACCUCUUGAACCAGCCAUCCCAUGGUCCGAUGUGAUAUUGAUGGUUUCGCUGCUACAGGAAGUAGCUAUGCCCUGGUCCACUGUGGUCUUGAUGGUUCCCCUGCUACUUGAACUAGCUAUGCCCUGGUCCAUUAUAUUGAAGUUUGAAAUAUAUAUGUAAAAACACGUAAAGAUUCUCCCAUAGAACAUUCAUAACGAUAGAAUGAACAAACUGUUUUGCUCUGGGUCUAUAUUGACCCAUAAUGUAAAACAGCAAUGGGAUCUACAUAAAAUUUCAUAAAUUUAUACUACAGAUACAUGUACACACGAUGUAGAGAAGAAUUGUCCAUAAAGUUAGUUCAAUUAACCUGAAUUGUUGGAUGAGGGGAAGAAGAUACUUUCUCAGCAUGCUUUAGAAAAAAGCCAUUGACAAGAAUAUCAAUGCCUGCAGGUGGACCUUCUAUAAAAAUCACUAGCUUUUUAGGAUAAUUAUUUAGAAGGAGCUUCCCCUUCAACUGUACCCACUCCUUAUCUGUUACCUGCAUACUAUAGACCCAAAACGACAAUCAUCGUCAAAUCAAUUCAAGAAUAUGGUAAAAUAAAAUUUAAAUAAUUUAAUUUAAUUAAUGAAAAUAAUAAAAAUGAUAUAACCGAAUAAAUACUAUAAAAUUAAUUCUAAAACAUAUUUUUCUAAAAGCGAUAAGUGUCUUUCUAUUAGAUUUUUUUUCCUAAUCUAUUUCGCCCAUAUCUUAUUAAUUACUUAAUAAAUAGCUCUUUAUAUUUUUUUUUGAAAUAACGUGACUUUUCAUUUUAAUAAUAAUAAUAAUAAUAAAUAUGCAUAUAUUAAAUAAAAUUUAUUAGUAUUAUUAUUAUUAUUCCUGAUUGAUAUAUGACCUUCUAGUUUCUCAGUAUUAAACAUAAAAAAUUUAUAUACAAUUAAAAUAUAUGCGUGCGUGAUCAGAGAGAAAAUUUGAAAAAAAAAAUCUUAAAUUUGAAAUUAGUAAGUAAAAAUAAUUAAAAACAUAUAAUAAUGGAUCAAUUAAUCAUAAUUUUAAAUGCAUAUUAUAGUUAUCUUUUAACUAUUUUUUACCCAACUUUUGAUAUUUUUUAUGUUGAGGCAUUACUCUUAGGUGUUGAUAACUAAUAUUUACGUGAAUAUGAUUAUAAAAUAUCUAAUUAAAUUUAAAUAUAUAUAAAUCUUAUAAUAAUAAAGUCAACAUAAAAAUGAUUUAUAAUAAUAAUAUAAAGAAGUAAGAUGACAAGUAAAAUGAAGUCUGGUCCAAACAGUCCGGACUCUUUCUCUUAAAUUCUCUAUAAAUUGAGAGGCUCUACUCAAUAGAGAAACUUAGAAGAUCAAGUUGAAAUUAUAAAAAUUAUGAAACCGUACGGGUCAAACUGAUUUAAAUAAUUUUUAAAUUUAUUUUUUAUUUAAUAAAAAAUAAUUAAUAUUUUUAAAUUUAUUUUUUAUUUGAUUUAAAAUAGUUAACCCAAAUUAUUUAGUAGUUUUCAACUUGACCUAAAAUAGUUAAUCCGAAUUAUUUAGUAGUUUCAUAUUAACUAUUAUAUAUAAUUUCAAUUUAUUGUAGCAAGCAUCUCCCCCACUAAAUUUUAUGAUAUUCUCGUCGCACCCAUUUUCUACUUAACUCAAAACAAUUAACUCAAGUUAUUUAAUAGUUUCGUGCUAAUUAUUAUAUACAAUUUCAAUUUAUUGUAUUCUGCUGACGUAGGACGUUUCACAUCAAGUUCAAGCUGAGUUUCACACUCUCUUCCGUUAAAUUUGCGAUGUUCUAGUCGCUAUUAAAUUAGUUGCUAAAUCAGGACCAGACCCUCGGAUAUUAUGGUUUGUUAGUAUUUCGAAUGGUUUCAUCUUGUGUCACAUGAAUAGCCAUUUCCUUACAGAUUCACUAAUUCUGCACAAUUUUUUUUAUUUAGGAUGGACUCUGAUACCAAUUGAAACAGUUCGAUCUAAAUAAUUUUUGGACCCACUUCUUACUUGAUUCAAAAUAAUUAAUUCAAAUUAUUUAGUAGUUUUAUACUAACUAUUAUAUAUAAUUUUUAUUUUAUCGUAUUCUCCCGACGUGGAACGUUAGAUGUAAGCAAGCCCCUGACUUUCACAAACCAUGCUAAAAUUACAAAUUAUCCAUUUUACAGAAUUUUCACUCAAAUUUUAAAACUAUCAAAUUAUUUUUUUCCGAAUGUAAAAGGCUUUUCUUUAUCAAUUUAAGAAUAAAUUUUUUAAAUUCUUAAUCUCAUAAAUAAAAAAGAAAUUAAAAUAUCGAGUUUUUUUAUUUCAAAUAAUUUAUUGUUGAAAAUCCAACCCAUUUUUUUUAAAUUGAUAUUUAUUAACUGCUUUUUUAUUUUUUUAUUUCAGUUAUGAAAUUUACGUGCACACUAUUACUUUCUUUCACCUUGUUCCAAAUACAUUAAUAGUUAUUUCAACUAAAUAAAGCCUAAAAAUAUUUACCUGAUGUGGGUAAGUGUCUAGUUUAAAAAUCCAUGUGAAUAAAAGAUUGAAUUAAGAAAAUGCUGUUUGCAGAGAUUGAAGGUGAUAAAAGAAUAUUAUAUAUAGAGAUUAUUAGAGGGAAAAAGAGCUAACUUGGCAAUGCCUAUGUAUUCUUCUCGGAGAUCUGUGGUUUGGACGCAUAAAGUAACUCGCACCUCAGCACUGCCAACAUUGUUGCCAAAGAUACGAACCACAGCAAUGGCCUCAUAAGCUUGCUUUGCCUGCACUUUUCCAGUUAUCUCCUGCUCGAUUCCGUUCCAGCUCUGGGUACGCUCAGUUGCACAUGCAAAAACUUUUCCAAACAGGGGGACAAUUUUCCCACAAGCCAUUGAUUCAUGUAAGACAAGCUUACAGCCUCUUCCAGACCACUUGUUCAGGCCAUCCUCAAAUUUAGGAUUUGCCAUGAUGUUCCCUUCUCCAUAUCCAGCGUCCACAAAUUGAUAAUUACUUGUUUCCUUUUGAUAACUUGUUUUCUCUUGAUAGCUUGUUUCCUUUUGAUAGCUUGUUUCCUUUUGGUAGCUUGUUUCCUUUCCAUAUCAAAAUGAAGAAAAUUUUACAAAUUUAUCAUCACAAAAAUGUAUAAAUAAAAUUAAUAAAUAGUUUUAAGAAGAAAAAUUACAUGGAAUUCACUUGGAGGGGAGCUGGUAAUAACGACUGAUUGUACAAGCAAGUCCACUGCAGGAGAAGGGCCUUCCAAGUAAAAAAGGACACGAUCAGGCUUCUUUGGCAGGGAGAAUUUUCCUUCCAACUUUUCCCACCUUUCCUUUGACAGAGAAAUUCUGCAGGUAUAUAUAACUUACAUUAAGACGAUCCGUAUGUUUCAUUUAAGGAAGAAAUGCAAUUAAGUGAAGCAACAAAUCUAUUACCUUCCAAUGAACAAAUAGUCUGUUGGGGAAUUUCGAUAUUCCACUCUCAAAGUAGCUUGUACAUCAGUGGUUCCCUGAAUAUUUCCUGAUACACCAACAUAUGCAGUAACAUAAUAAGUGGAACCUGGAGAAACAAUGCUUGUGAUAUCUUGCUCCAAGCCCUGCCAACUUUCUGUUCGAUUCGUGACAACUGCAUAAUAACCACCUCGCUUUGUUAAGAAUGCUGGGUGACCUGACUCUGCUGAAACCGCAGAGAAACUGCAGCCAUUUGCGUGCCAAGAAUGCAGUCCUUGAGAGAAGUCAUGGUUCGUUAUGACAUUGAUGGUAGUGUUGCCACUUGAACCAGAUAUGCCCUGGUCUAUUAUGGUCUUGCUGACAGUGUCACCUCUUGAACCAGCCAUCCCAUGGUCCGCUGUGAUGUUGAUGGUUUCGCUGCUACAGGAAGUAGCUAUGCCCUGGUCCGUUGUGGUCUUGAUGGUUCCGCUGCUACUUGAACUAGCUAUGCCCUGGUCCAUUAUAUUAAAGUUUGAGCAAGUUUGAAAUAUAUAUGUAAAAACAUGUAAAGAUUCUCCCAUAGAACAUUAAUAAUGAUAGAAGGAAAAAACUGUUUUGCACAGGAUCUAUAUUGACCUAUAAUGUAAAAUAGUAAUGAAAUUUACAUAAAAUUUCAUAAAUUUAUACUACAGACUCAUAUAGAUCUGAUAUAGAUAAGGAUUGUCUGUAAAAUUAGUUCAACUUACCUGAAUUGUUGGAUGAGGGGAGGAAUGUACUUUUUCAGCAUGCUUUAGAAAAAAGCCAUUGACAAGAAUAUCAGUGUCUGCAGGUGGACCUUCUAUAUAAAUUACUACCUUUUUAGGGUAAUUAUCUAGAAGGAACUUCCCCUUCAACUGUACCCACUUUUUAUCUGUUACCUCCAUACUAUACAUCCAAAAAGACAAUCAUCAUGAAAUCAAUUAAAAAAUAUAGUAAAAGAAAAUCUAGAUAAUUUAAUUUAGUUGAUGAAAAUGAAAGAAAUGAUAUAACUUAAUAAAACCUAAAACCUCAUAUUCCUAUAUGAUAUAGUUAUAAAAAUCUAUAUAAUCUAAAUAUAUAUAAAAACUAUAAAAUUAACUUUAAAAUAUAUUUUUCUAAACGUGAUAAGUGUCUUUCUAUUAGAUUUUUUUUUGUCUAUUUAUCUAUUUUGUCCAUAUCUUAUUACUUAAUAGAUAGCUUUUUAUAUUUUUUUUGAAAGUACGUGAGUUUUCAUUUUAAUAAUAAUAAUAAUAAAUAUGUAUAUAUUAAAUAAAAUUUAUUAGUAUUAUUAUUAUUAUUAUUCCUGAUUGACAAAUGAAUAACAAGUAAAAUUAAGAUGAAAAAGUAAUUAUUCUCUAUUUUAACAACAAAAAAAUAAUAUUUAUAACUUUCUCUUGUUAAGUUUGUAAUAAAAAAAUCGAUGAUGAUUUUUUUACUGUUAAUCUCUAAAGAAAAUAAUCUUUUAUGAUAUUUGAUUUAAUACAGAAAAUGAAGUUAAUUAUUAGCGUAUUAGUAUUAAUCUUAGUUAUGUUUAGUAUAAUAAAAUGAUAAAUAAAAGAAAUUGAGAGAUUAAAAUUUAACCCAGUCCAGAUAUUGCAGUAUAAGAGGUAGUGUAAUGAAUAUGCACUCAGUAGGUGAAUAUUAAUCUGGUGUAAAUUUUAACUCAAAAAAUCAACCAUAGCUAAAUGAGAUUAACUAUUUAUAGGAAUAAAAAUUUAAAAUUUCAAUUAUAAAAUACCAUAGAUCUCUUGGUUCUAUAAAUUUUAUUUAAAAAUUAUUAAUUAAAUUAAUUUUACUAAAUAAAUUCAUUUAAUAUAAAUUGAUAAUUAAAAAAAAAAAAUUACAUGUCACUUAAUUAAAAGAGACCAGUUAACCGCCAAAAUAGGCAAUUGAGACUAUUUUCUCAAAUCCUCUGUGAAUAGAGAAGUGCCGAUGGAGAAACUAAGAAGAUUAAGUCUAAGCUAUAGAAAGCUAUGUUAAAAUUGCAAGUUAUCCAUUCUACAGAAUCUUCAUCAAGUUUUAAGACUAUAAAAGUCAUUCUUUCUCAAAUCAAAGAGGGUUUUUUAAUCGAUUUAAGAAUAAACUUUUCAAAUUCUUAAAUCUCAUAAAUCAAAGAAAAAAAAUUAAAGUAUUGAAUUUCUUUAUUUCAAAUAAUUUAUUAUUGGAAAUUCAACUCACUUUUUUUAUUAAAUUAAUAUUUAUUCCCUAUUUUUUUAUUUUUUAAUUUCAGUUAUGAAAUUUAUGUGUACACUGUUACCUUCUUUGACCUUAUACUAAAUAUAUUAAUAGUUAUUUCAAUUAAAUAAGGUCUAAAAAUAUUCACACGAUGUGGGUAAGUGUCUAAUUCAUAAAUCCACAUGAAUAAAAGGUUGAAUUAAGAAAAUGCUAUUUGCAGAAAUCGAAGCUGAUAAAAAGAAUAUUAUGUAUGGAAAUUAUUAGAGGGAAAAAGAGCUAACUUGGCAAUGCCUAUGUAUUCUUCUCGGAGAUCUGUCGUUUGGACGCAUAAAGUAACUCGCACAUCAGCACUGCUAACAUUGUUGCCAAAGAUCCGAACCACAGCAAUGGCCUCAUAAGCUACCUUUGCCUGUACUUUUCCAGUUAUCUCCUGCUCUAUUCCGUUCCAGCUCUGGGUACGCUCAGUUGCACAUGCAAAAACUUUUCCAAACAGGGGGACAAUUUUUCCACAAGCCAAUGAUUCAUGUAAGACAAGCUUGCAGCCUCUUCCAGACCAUUUGUUCAGGCCAUCCUCAAAUUUAGGAUUUGCCAUGAUGUUCCCUUCUCCAUAUCCAGUGUCCACAAAUUGAUAAUUACUUGUUUCCUUUUGAUAGCUUGUUACCUUUUGAUAGCUUGUUUCCUUUCCAUAUCAAAAUGAAAAAUUUUUUACAAAUUUAUCAUCACAAAAAAGUACAAAUAAAAUUAAUAAAUAG
rnacentral:lncRNA from 1 species